rnacentral:rRNA from 1 species
GAUGAACGCUGGCGGCAUGCUUAACACAUGCCAGUCGAACGGCAACGCCCUGCUCGGGUGGGGUGCUCGAGUGGCAAAGGGGUGAGUAACAUGUGAGCGUGCUGCCCUUGACGUUGGGAUAACUUCAGGACCGGGGGAAUAAUACCGACUACGAGUGCCUGCAACAGGGGGGCGGUUGGGAAGCUCCGGCGGUUAGGGGUGGACGCGGGGCUUACCAGCUUGUUGGUGGGGGAGUGGCUAACCGAGUCUUUGACGGGUAGCCGGCCUGGGCGGUUGACCGGCCACAUGGGGACUGAGGUACGGCGCAGACGCCUACGGGAGGCAGCGGUGGGGAAUAUUACACAGUGGGCGGAAGCCUGAUGCAACAACGCCGCGGUCGUGAUGACGUCCUUCGGGUUGUAAACCGCUUUCUGCUGUGACGACGCGAGGGUGACGGUAAUUGGAAAAGAAGCACCGGCUAACUACGUG